AUGGCGGACAGGCCUGGUGAUUGGGUCAUGAUUUACUUUCCCGAAUAUUGUUGGAAAAAACCCGAAGGUGACUACUAUCAGAAGAGAAAAAUAGAGAUAUUAGCUUCAAGAAGCAUUAUGAUGUUGCAGAUCAGUGAGUUUAAGUGCUUCAAGGUGAGGUCUGAGGGUGGAGGAGCAAAGAUUGAAAGAGGGAGAAAAUAUUUGUUUGGCGUUGUUGCGAUUCAUGGAACAUCAAUUACAGAACGAAAAUCAAGUCAUGAGUUUCAAGGGAUACCUAUCGGAAACCUUCUGAUGAGGCUUCAACAUCGGUGCAAGUUGUUAUGGCUGGUGUGUGUAUAUUGUAUGAAAAUUGGUUGUUACGGUGGGAAAGUGAGAUCAAUGGAGCAAGUGGUGAGAUAG